AUAAUUAUAAGUUAGCGAGGGAAACCUGUAAUAGCAGGUCUAAAGAAAAGGUUUGUGUUUUUGGUUUACCAGAGCACAAAGUAUUGAAGGUACUGCAAAAUCAUUUAAAUUUCAGGGCAUAAAUUUGGUGGUUUGUGAACGGUAAGAUUGUUAAUUCGUGGAAUUCAGUUGCCAGGACCUCUUUUCUUGAUGGAAGGAUUUAAGAUGUACUGCCUGCCAGCAUCCGGGAAUCUUUAAAUGGAAAUUAGGAAACAGAGUGUUGAUGUCUGGACUAUUGUACUGUUGUGAAGUUUAAGAUGUAAUUAUUUUAUAAAAAAGACUUACCUAUACAGAUCAAUUG